AAAGAUUAAGCCAUGCAUGUCUAAGUAUAAACGAUUUAAUCGUGAAACCGCGAAUGGCUCAUUAUAACAGCUAUAAUUUACUUGAUCUUGACACAAUCCUACUUGGAUAACUGUGGUAAUUCUAGAGCUAAUACAUGCAUUAAAGCUCUGACCUCACGGGAAGAGUGCAUUUAUUAGAACAAAACCAAGCGGCUUCGGCUGUUUCUGGUUGACUCAUAGUAACUGAGCUGAUCGCACGGUCUUGCACCGGCGACGUGUCUUUCAAGUAUCUGCCGUAUCAACUUUCGAUGGUAGUGUAUCUGACUACCAUGGUGAUCACGCGUAACGGAGAAUAAGGGUUCGGCUCCGGAGAGUUCGCCUGAGAAAUCGCGAACACAUCUAAGGAAGGCAGCAGGCGCGAAAAUUACCCACUCUCAGCACGAGGAGGUAGUGACGAAAAAUAACGAGACCGUUCUCUUAUGAGGCCGGUCAUCGGAAUGGGUACAAUUUAAACCCUUUAACGAGUAUCUAUGAGAGGGCAAGUCUGGUGCCAGCAGCCGCGGUAAUUCCAGCUCUCAAAGUGCAUAGAAUUAUUGCUGCGGUUAAAAAGCUCGUAGUUGGAUCUGUGCCAUAGGACGUGGUCCACCUUCGGGUGCGUACUACGCUCCUAGGCUUUUUGCUGGUUUUCCCGUCGUAGCCUUCACUGGUUGCGGCGGGUGGCUGGCGAGUUUACUUUGAGAAAAUCAGAGUGCUCAAUACAGGCGUAUCGCUUGAAUGAUUGUGCAUGGAAUAAUAGAAAAGGAUUUCGGUCCUCUUUUAUUGGUUUUGUGGACUGAGAUAAUGGUUAACAGGGACAAACGGGGGCAUUCGUAUCUCUGCGUGAGAGGUGAAAUUCUUGGACCGUAGAGAGACGCCCUACUGCGAAAGCAUUUGCCAAGAAUG
rnacentral:rRNA from 1 species